rfam:Rhizoclosmatium globosum strain JEL800 BCR33scaffold_273, whole genome shotgun sequence.
UCUACAAAUGUGCAAUCUUUGGGUGUCAAACCUGAGGGCAAAAUGAAAGUAAAAGUAGGUGUGAUCUGCAAGGUGCAACAUUGACCGGACUGGAUUUUCUUGAAAGUUCUGAGUAUGAGUGUAUUUGCUGAGACCCGAAAGUAGGUGAACUAUACCUGAGUAGGGCAAAGUUAGAGGAAACUCUGAUAGAAGCUUUUAGCGGUUCUAGCGUAGCAAGGGGAGGAUAUUGUUGAGCGUAGGGGGUAGCAACAGCGGUGUUAAUGCUGUCGAGGGAGUGUUUGUCAGAAUCUGG